GGGGGAGAGACUUAGAAUCCCCCGUGGACCUUGUGUAAAUAGUAGUGUCUUUGGCCGGGCAUUGCGGUUUGUGAAUC
ncrna:unclassified sequences L13-Bacteroidia ribosomal protein leader